GACGUAGGGCGCAAGCGUUGUCCGGAUUUAUUGGGCGUAAAGAGCUCGUAGGCGGCUUGUUGCGUCGACCGUGAAAACCCGUGGCUCAACUGCGGGCUUGCGGUCGAUACGGGCGGGCUAGAGUUCGGUAGGGGAGACUGGAAUUCCUGGUGUAGCGGUGAAAUGCGCAGAUAUCAGGAGGAACACCGAUGGCGAAGGCAGGUCUCUGGGCCACUACUGACGCUGAGAAGCGAAAGCGUGGGGAGCGAACAGG
rnacentral:rRNA from 1 species